UAUUAGAAAUAUAGUCUUAAAGAAAACUGAUAUAUAAUUAUUAAUUAUAAAUAUAUAAGUAUAUAAAGGAACUAUUAUGGAAUUUAAGCUAUGUAUUAAAGAGAAUUAGUUAUAUAAAUAAGACAAAGAUCUUAUAAGUAUAUAAACUCUAAGAGAAAUCUAAUACUAAACGAAGUGAAUUGAAAUAAUCUUAGUAAACU
rnacentral:rRNA from 1 species